UUUAAGGUUUUAUAGGGUUCCGCAGUUUAAAAAUUAUAACUGGUCUGGUCCAAGAUAAAACGCACAGUCUGCUGUGUUCACGGAAGGAUAAAAGCCUGGGAGAU
rfam:Pseudobacteroides cellulosolvens ATCC 35603 = DSM 2933 ctg1, whole genome shotgun sequence.